GCCGGCGGUCGGUGGCGGCCGCUUCGGUGCUGACAAGAUGGCGGCUGGCGGGGCUGUCGCUGCGGCGCCCGAGUGCCGGCUUCUCCCCUAUGCGCUACACAAGUGGAGCUCCUUCUCCUCCACUUACCUUCCCGAGAACAUUUUAGUGGAUAAACCAAAUGACCAAUCUUCAAGGUGGUCUUCAGAGAGCAACUAUCCUCCCCAGUACUUGAUUCUGAAACUUGAAAGGCCUGCUAUAGUCCAGAACAUCACAUUUGGAAAAUAUGAGAAAACUCAUGUCUGCAAUUUGAAGAAAUUUAAAGUCUUCGGUGGAAUGAAUGAAGAAAAUAUGACAGAGCUAUUGUCCAGUGGCUUAAAGAAUGAUUAUAACAAAGAAACAUUCACCUUGAAGCAUAAAAUUGAUGAACAGAUGUUCCCUUGUCGAUUCAUUAAAAUAGUUCCACUCUUAUCCUGGGGACCCAGCUUUAACUUUAGCAUCUGGUAUGUUGAACUUAGUGGCAUUGAUGAUCCCGAUGUAGUACAACCCUGUCUCAACUGGUACAGCAAGUACCGUGAACAGGAAGCUAUUCGUCUUUGCCUAAAACACUUCAGACAACACAACUAUACAGAGGCGUUUGAAUCGCUACAAAAAAAAACCAAGAUUGCCCUGGAACAUCCCAUGUUAACAGAUCUACAUGAUAAACUGGUGUUGAAGGGUGAUUUUGAUGCUUGUGAAGAAUUGAUUGAAAAAGCUGUAAAUGAUGGUUUGUUCAAUCAGUACAUCAGUCAACAGGAAUAUAAGCCACGAUGGAGUCAAAUUAUUCCCAAAAGCACCAAAGGUGAUGGAGAAGAUAACCGACCAGGAAUGAGAGGGGGCCACCAAAUGGUUAUUGAUGUUCAAACAGAGACCGUAUAUUUGUUUGGUGGCUGGGAUGGAACACAAGAUCUUGCUGACUUCUGGGCGUACAGUGUGAAGGAGAACCAGUGGACGUGUAUCUCUAGAGACACUGAGAAAGAGAAUGGUCCUAGUGCCAGGUCAUGUCAUAAAAUGUGCAUUGACAUUCAACGAAGGCAAAUCUACACAUUGGGGCGUUAUUUGGAUUCCUCCGUGAGGAACAGCAAAUCUCUGAAAAGUGACUUCUAUCGUUACGACAUUGACACAAACACAUGGAUGUUACUUAGUGAGGAUACUGCUGCUGAUGGAGGGCCGAAAUUGGUGUUUGAUCAUCAGAUGUGUAUGGACUCAGAAAAACAUAUGAUCUACACCUUUGGUGGUAGAAUUUUGACAUGUAAUGGCAGCGUAGACGACAGCAGAGCCAGUGAACCACAGUUCAGUGGGUUGUUUGCUUUCAACUGUCAAUGUCAAACUUGGAAACUUCUUCGAGAGGACUCCUGUAAUGCUGGGCCUGAGGACAUCCAGUCUCGGAUAGGACACUGCAUGCUAUUCCACUCAAAAAAUCGUUGCUUAUAUGUAUUUGGUGGCCAGCGAUCGAAGACCUAUUUGAAUGAUUUCUUUAGUUAUGAUGUGGACUCUGAUCAUGUAGACAUAAUAUCAGAUGGCACCAAGAAAGACUCUGGAAUGGUUCCAAUGACAGGAUUCACACAGAGAGCAACCAUUGAUCCAGAACUGAAUGAAAUACAUGUCUUAUCUGGACUCAGCAAAGACAAAGAAAAGAGGGAGGAGAAUGUCAGAAAUUCAUUCUGGAUUUAUGACAUUGUGAGGAAUAGUUGGUCUUGCGUCUAUAAGAAUGAUCAAGCUGCAAAGGAUAAUCCAAGUAAAAGUCUUCAGGAGGAAGAACCAUGUCCAAGAUUUGCCCAUCAGCUUGUAUAUGAUGAGUUACACAAGGUUCAUUAUUUAUUUGGUGGGAAUCCAGGAAAAUCUUGCUCUCCAAAGAUGAGAUUAGAUGACUUCUGGUCACUGAAGUUAUGUAGGCCUUCAAAAGAUUACUUACUGAGGCACUGCAAGUACCUCAUAAGAAAACACAGGUUUGAAGAAAAGGCCCAAAUGGACCCCCUUAGUGCUCUGAAAUAUUUACAAAACGAUCUUUAUAUAACUGUGGAUCAUUCAGACCCAGAAGAGACGAAAGAGUUUCAGCUCCUAGCUUCAGCUCUGUUCAAAUCUGGUUCAGAUUUUACAGCUCUAGGUGAGUUUUAUUCAGGCUUCCAAAGGUGGAGAAUGAUACCUGCUGUAGAAGGGCCCUUUGGUGUUUUCCUUUGAGACAGGGCCGAAAUAAAGAAGUUCUGAUGGAUCUCACAAAGUUUCCUGGAGAUGUUUCCAUUUUUAAGGAACACUGCCCCAGAAUCUGACUUACCAGACAGCAUUUAGAACCCAGUGCAGACGUGGGAUGAAGAGGACCUUUGCAGAUGCAUGGCUGUAUGGCCCUGGACACAGAUGUCUAGUGGCAAGAGCAAGCCAAGGCAAGGUAUUGGAUUCUGAAGUUGCCCUCAAAGGCUAGAGUCACCCAGUCUGGAUGCACCCAAAGGAGCAUCUGAACCAGCCCAAAGCUUCCCAAGGUUCUCCUUGGACAGAGCCACCACAAUCAUUCCUCUUAACCAAGUAUAAUUUUACUCUAGUCCCUGCCACACAUCAUCUCUCUGCCCAAGAGGCCAUGGGGCUGUAGCCUUUGAUCAGUUUGUGGAGGCAUACUGGCUGUCUCUGUCCAAAGACCUGGCUGGCUGGUAAAAUGUGACCCAGAAAGAGCAAAGGAGUAGAAUCCAGUCCUGGCCUCUUCGAAGAAACCCACAGGGUGGAAAGAAUCAAAUGUUGGCCAGGAAGGAAGCAAACAUCUCUUCCUGGUAUGACAAGAUUUCCUCUAUUUUUUCCCCCCACACUGGCACUGUUCUCUACCCUGCUGACCUCCAGAUGCUAGAGAAUCAGGGCAAAUACUUCUGGAUCCUUGUCAGUCUGGCAUCUCUCUAGCUUUUGGGAAACUCACCAGAGGCCCUACCUGAACACUAGGAUAUCAAAGGCCAAAGGCUAUGAAGACGGAAUCAAGGCAGCCAGGGAAGGACACAGAUCUUCCCCCAGCUAAGCUCCUUUAAAAAAUCAGCUGUCCUAAAGCAGGCUGCCUAUUUCAUCAGGACUCACAGCCUGGGCCUGCAGGUUCUGGGGUUCUGACCUCUUGCCCUGAAAUUACAGUUUUCACUCUCCUAAGCAGUUCUGCCCGUUCCCCUAGUUGGUGCCAGGAAAUUUCACCCAGGAGCAAAAGAGACUGUGGGCAAAGUUCCACAAAAUCUGGGAUUUGGGCUUCCCAGAAAAUCAGAUUAAACCUCACUCUGUCCA